rnacentral:lncRNA from 1 species
GGAGGAGGAAAUAAAUAAAUAAAACAAUCACCUCCGCGCCAAUAAGAGCGAGGGAGAGAGCAAGACGCGACCAGAGAGCCACCGGGGCCCGCUCGCGCGAGAGCUCCACCCCAGAGAAACGUGCAGAGCCGCUGUCAAUGGGAUGUUCAGUCAGGGCGGCUGCAGCGUCCGCCCAAGCUGAAGGCCCUACUUGGGGGUUGGGGGCUCACAUGGAAGAGUAAAGUCAGGCAAUUACAUGACCACUUAAACCUGCUUUAUAAAUGUUGAGAACUGUCUAUGGCACAUAGUGUAUUAGGAAGCAUCCAGCACAGGAGGAUGAUGUAGGCUGGGAGGCUAGACCCAUCUCACCUUUUUCAUGUCUUUCUGCUUGCUUUAUAUUCACUGGAAGCUGAUUAGAUUGUGCCCAUCAGACUAAGAGUGGAUCUGCCCUCCCCAGCCCACUGACUCAAAUGUUAAUCUCUUUUGGUCAACACCCACACGGACACACUCAGGGUUAGUACUUUGUGUCCCUCAAUCCAAUCAAGUUGACACUCAGUAUUAACCAUCACAGUGAGCACUUGAUAAAUUUUAGCUAUUUUCUUAUAUUGUAAUUA